UACGGAGGAUGCAAGCGUUAUCCGGAUUUAUUGGGUUUAAAGGGUGCGCAGGUUGUUUUAUAAGUCAGUGGUGAAAGUCUGUCGCUUAACGGUAGGAUUGCCAUUGAUACUGUUGGACUUGAAUAUGGAUGAGGUAGGCGGAAUGUGUAGUGUAGCGGUGAAAUGCAUAGAUAUUACACAGAACACCGAUUGCGAAGGCAGCUUACUAAUCCAUCAUUGACGCUGAGGCACGAAAGCGUGGGGAUCAAACAGGAUUA
rnacentral:rRNA from 1 species